rnacentral:lncRNA from 1 species
CAAUGAGGGAGCCCCAGACGGGGCGCUUUUGGUGCUGAGGCUUUGAAGCCAUCAUAUUUAUCGUCUCCUGUGACUGUGGAGCCAGGGGAGAAUCUGCUCCUCACGGUCAAGCAAUAUUCCUUCUCCAUUCCAGGGGGCUGGGGACGGCCCUCCCCUGGCCCAAGAGUCUGGCCUCCCCCUCACUGCACCGCAGCUGACAUACUGUAGUCUGGCUCUUUGUCCCCUCCAUGCCCAGCCAACCCUCAACUCGCCAUCACUGGUGCCCCAUGCAAUGAACUUCUAACUCAGAGCUGAUGAGUGCCCCCCACACCUGCCUCCCCCCAUGCCCCAGGCAGUGCUCUCAACACCCUGUGGUGCUACCCUUUUCAAUAGUUAAGCACUGGAUGUCUCCUGAUCCCAGGCUGGGACCCCUUCACUCAUUCCUGUUUUCAGGGAAGUCUGGGAUAUGAUGAGAGAGAUUCUAGCAUCCCCACCGCUCCAGGGCCAUAGGGCAUAUUUGGCAUCUCAAGUCUGAGAAUAAACCAGUGAACUGUGUCCCUGUGUCUUUCAUCUAGUGCUGGCUAUAUCUUUCAUAAGGUCAGGCUCUUAUCUCACCUGAGGUAUCUGCCGUGACCUGUUUUAUUGUACCUUUUGGUAGAGGUGACUUUGGGAGGUAGGGGCAUCCAAUUAUGAUACUCUCUGGAGACGUUGGGUCUGUUUACCAGUUCAGGCCCUUAGAAGAAAAGUCAAAAAUCACCAGAUCUCUAAGAGAGAUCUUAAAUGCUUACACCACAAAAAAAGAAAUGGUAACUAUGUGAUGUGAUGCAAGUGUUAGCUAAUGCUAUGGUGGUAAUCAUUUUACGAUAUAUAAGUGUAUCAAGUUAACAGGUUGUAUGUCUUAGACUUACACAAUAUCAUAUGUCAAUUCUAUGUCAAUAAAGCUGAAAAAAAUUGUGAACCUUAUUAGGAAGAUCUCAAACUUUAAAAAAGAAAGAGGGAGGGAGAGAGGGAGGGAAAAGAUAGUUAGAUCUUCACGUUGAUCUUGAUUUGUCCUAGAGUUAUUGGCUGAGCUGAGGGUGAGGGAAUAGAUCAAGAGGUGACAUGGGAUGUGAUUUGGGUUUGCGAUAACAUGACUAGAGGUCAGACUUCUGAGUGGCAGGUCAAGGGAUGAGUUGGGGAUAGAGAGAAUUAUGUUAGAAGCGGAGCCUUGAGGUAAGCUGGAUGUUGGGGGGUAGGGGUUGGGUGAGUUAUGUUGAGAAUGGAUUGAAGAUGAGUCAAAUUGGAGGUUGGUUUGGAGUGAGUUGAGUUUGAAGUUGUGUAUUAAUGAUGGGAUCCACUGAGUUGGAGAUUGGGCAAUCAGUGGAUUGAGGUCAGAGUUUGGACUUAGAUGUUGGAUUGACAUGAAUGAGGGUUGAUUUGGGAAGGAGGAUGAAUGGAGUAGAGGUAAGUAGGGGUUGCUGUGAAUGGGGAUUGGGGAUUGGCAGUUUGGUAAGUCAAGAUAGCAUCAGUUAAGAGGAGAGUUGGGUUUGAGGUAGCUUGAAUUGGGGGUUAGAUAUUGGGUUGAGGGUUUUUAAAAAUAGAUUUAUUGAGAUGUAAUUCACUUACCAUAUAAUUCACCCAUUUAAAGUAUGCAAUUAAAUGAUUUUCACAGACUUGUACCACCAUCACCACAAUCAAUUUCAGAACAUUUUCAUCACCUCAAAAGGAAAUCCCAUAUCCAUUAGCAGUCACUUUCCAUUUCCCCCAAACCUCUCAGUGGUAGGCAACCACUAAUCUUGCUCUCUCUAUGUAUUUGCCUAUUCUGGACAUUUUAUAUAAGUGGAAUCAUAUAAUGUGUGGCCGUUUGGAUCUCGAUGCUCUCACUUAGCAUAAUGGUUCAAGGUUCAUGUUGCAGCAUGCAUCAGUACUUCAUUCCUGUUUAUUGUUGAAUAAUAUUUCUUUGGAUAUAUCACUUUUGUUUAUCCAUUCGUCAGUUGAUAGACAUUGCAGAAUUGAGUUAAGGAUUGACAGAGGGCUGGUAUGAGUUGAGUUGGGUCAGGUUGGGAUUGAGUAGUUAUAGGGUUCAGGUUGGGGUAAAUUGUCUCCCCAAAAGCCAGGGCUUACCUUACUACCUCUGCCACCAGGUCCCAUAAGGCCAUCUGAGUGCUUGUCCUGGAUUCCCUCAUUCAUUCAAUCAACAUUACUCAUGAAGGAGGCAGAGAAUAGCUAAACCUAUAGCUAUGUAGUGUGAUUUUAGGAAAAAAAUCAAACAAGUUGCAGAGUGAUGGAGUGGUGGAUAUUUGAAAUAAGAUCAUCAGGAGAGAUCUCACUGAAGAGUUAAUAUUUGAGCAGAGAGACCCAAAGGAUGAAAGGAAAAGCCAUGUGAAAUUUGAGGAGGUAUUACCCACACAGUGAAGAAU